rnacentral:rRNA from 1 species
GACGCAGGGUUAGUCGGUUCCUAAGGCGAGGCUGAAAAGCGUAGUCGAUGGGAAACAGGUUAAUAUUCCUGUACUUCUGGUUACUGCGAUGGAGGGACGGAGAAGGCUAGGCCAGCUUGGCGUUGGUUGUCCAAGUUUAAGGUGGUAGGCUGAAAUCUUAGGUAAAUCCGGGGUUUCAAGGCCGAGAGCUGAUGACGAGUCGUCUUUUAGAUGACGAAGUGGUUGAUGCCAUGCUUCCAAGAAAAGCUUCUAAGCUUCAGGUAACCAGGAACCGUACCCCAAACCGACACAGGUGGUCGGGUAGAGAAUACCAAGGCGCUUGAGAGAACUCGGGUGAAGGAACUAGGCAAAAUGGCACCGUAACUUCGGGAGAAGGUGCGCCGGCUAGGGUGAAGGAUUUACUCCGUAAGCUCUGGCUGGUCGAAGAUACCAGGCCGCUGCGACUGUUUAUUAAAAACACAGCACUCUGCAAACACGAAAGUGGACGUAUAGGGUGUGACGCCUGCCCGGUGCCGGAAGGUUAAUUGAUGGGGUUAGCGCAAGCGAAGCUCUUGAUCGAAGCCCCGGUAAACGGCGGCCGUAACUAUAACGGUCCUAAGGUAGCGAAAUUCCUUGUCGGGUAAGUUCCGACCUGCACGAAUGGCGUAACGAUGGCGGCGCUGUCUCCACCCGAGACUCAGUGAAAUUGAAAUCGCUGUGAAGAUGCAGUGUAUCCGCGGCUAGACGGAAAGACCCCGUGAACCUUUACUGUAGCUUUGCACUGGACUUUGAGCCUGCUUGUGUAGGAUAGGUGGGAGGCUUUGAAGCGUGGACGCCAGUUCGCGUGGAGCCAUCCUUGAAAUACCACCCUGGCAUGCUUGAGGUUCUAACUCUGGUCCGUGAUCCGGAUCGAGGACAGUGUAUGGUGGGCAGUUUGACUGGGGCGGUCUCCUCCUAAAGAGUAACGGAGGAGUACGAAGGUGCGCUCAGACCGGUCGGAAAUCGGUCGCAGAGUAUAAAGGCAAAAGCGCGCUUGACUGCGAGACAGACACGUCGAGCAGGUACGAAAGUAGGUCUUAGUGAUCCGGUGGUUCUGUAUGGAAGGGCCAUCGCUCAACGGAUAAAAGGUACUCCGGGGAUAACAGGCUGAUACCGCCCAAGAGUUCAUAUCGACGGCGGUGUUUGGCACCUCGAUGUCGGCUCAUCACAUCCUGGGGCUGAAGCCGGUCCCAAGGGUAUGGCUGUUCGCCAUUUAAAGUGGUACGCGAGCUGGGUUUAGAACGUCGUGAGACAGUUCGGUCCCUAUCUGCCGUGGACGUUUGAGAUUUGAGAGGGGCUGCUCCUAGUACGAGAGGACCGGAGUGGACGAACCUCUGGUGUUCCGGUUGUCACGCCAGUGGCAUUGCCGGGUAGCUAUGUUCGGAAAAGAUAACCGCUGAAAGCAUCUAAGCGGGAAACUUGCCUCAAGAUGAGAUCUCACUGGGAACUUGAUUCCCCUGAAGGGCCGUCGAAGACUACGACGUUGAUAGGCUGGGUGUGUAAGCGUUGU